CGAAAGGUAUGCUAAUACGGGAUAAUAUAUUUGAGAGGCAUCUCUUGAAUAUCAAAGGUGAGCCAGUACAGGAUGGACCCGCGUCUGAUUAGCUAGUUGGUAAGGUAACGGCUUACCAAGGCGACGAUCAGUAGCCGACCUGAGAGGGUGAUCGGCCACAUUGGAACUGAGACACGGUCCAAACUCCUACGGGAGGCAGCAGCGGGGAAUACUGCACAAUGGGCGAAAGCCUGAUGCAGCAACGCCGCGUGAGUGAUGAAGGCCUUCGGGUCGUAAAACUCUGUCCUCAAGGAAGAUAAUGACGGUACUUGAGGAGGAAGCCCCGGCUAACUACGUGCCAGCAGCCGCGGUAAUACGUAGGGGGCUAGCGUUAUCCGGAUUUACUGGGCGUAAAGGGUGCGUAGGCGGUCUUUCAAGUCAGGAGUGAAAGGCUACGGCUCAACCGUAGUAAGCUCUUGAAACUGGGAGACUUGAGUGCAGGAGAGGAGAGUGGAAUUCCUAGUGUAGCGGUGAAAUGCGUAGAUAUUAGGAGGAACACCAGUUGCGAAGGCGGCUCUCUGGACUGUAACUGACGCUGAGGCACGAAAGCGUGGGGAGCAAACAGGAUUAGAUACCCUGGUAGUCCACGCUGUAAACGAUGAGUACUAGGUGUCGGGGGUUACCCCCUUCGGUGCCGCAGCUAACG
rnacentral:rRNA from 1 species